GAUGAACGCUGGCGGCGUGCCUAAUACAUGCAAGUCGAGCGAAUGGAUUAAGAGCUUGCUCUUCUGAAGUUAGCGGCGGACGGGUGAGUAACACGUGGGUAACCUGCCCAUAAGACUGGGAUAACUCCGGGAAACCGGGGCUAAUACCGGAUAACAUUUUGAACCGCAGGGUUCGAAAUUGAAAGGCGGCUUCGGGUGUCACUUAUGGAUGGAGCCGAGGCGCAUUAGGUAGUUGGUGAGGUAACGGCUCACCAAGGAAACGAUGCGUAACCGACCUGAGAGGGUGAUCGGCCACACUGGGACUGAGACACGGCCCAGACUCCUACGGGAGGCAGCAGUAGGGAAUCUUCCGCAAUGGACGAAAGUCUGACGGAGCAACGCCGCGUGAGUGAUGAAGGCUUUCGGGUCGUAAAACUCUGUUGUUAGGGAAGAACAAGUGCUAGUUGAAUAAGCUGGCACCUUGACGGUACCUAACCAGAAAGCCACGGCUAACUACGUGCCAGCAGCCGCCGUAA
rnacentral:rRNA from 1 species